rnacentral:rRNA from 1 species
GAUGAACGCUGGCGGCGUGCUUAACACAUGCAAGUCGAACGGGAAACCUUUUAUUGAAGCUUCGGCAGAUUUAGCUGGUUUCUAGUGGCGGACGGGUGAGUAACGCGUGGGUAACCUGCCUUAUACAGGGGGAUAACAACCAGAAAUGGUUGCUAAUACCGCAUAAGCGCACAGGACCGCAUGGUCCGGUGUGAAAAACUCCGGUGGUAUAAGAUGGACCCGCGUUGGAUUAGCUAGUUGGCAGGGUAACGGCCUACCAAGGCGACGAUCCAUAGCCGGCCUGAGAGGGUGAACGGCCACAUAGGGACUGAGACACGGCCCAGACUCCUACGGGAGGCAGCAGUGGGGAAUAUUGCACAAUGGGGGAAACCCUGAUGCAGCGACGCCGCGUGAAGGAAGAAGUAUCUCGGUAUGUAAACUUCUAUCAGCAGGGAAGAUAGUGACGGUACCUGACUAAGAAGCCCCGGCUAACUACGUG